AAGAUAAGAGCCAGUCAGACAAGCCGAAGGACAACUUGCUUAUCUAGAAAUCCUAAUAUAUAUAGGCUCAAGCGUUAACUUGUCAGUAACUUUUGCACAUAUGAGAUCUAAUUAGGCAAGUCAUCCCUGGCUACCAAACAUGGCUCUUCACC
rnacentral:pre_miRNA from 1 species